AGCGAACGCUGGCGGCAGGCCUAACACAUGCAAGUCGAACGAACCCUUCGGGGUUAGUGGCGGACGGGUGAGUAACACGUGGGAACGUGCCUUUAGGUUCGGAAUAACUCAGGGAAACUUGUGCUAAUACCGAAUGUGCCCUUCGGGGGAAAGAUUUAUCGCCUUUAGAGCGGCCCGCGUCUGAUUAGCUAGUUGGUGAGGUAAUGGCUCACCAAGGCUACGAUCAGUAGCUGGUCUGAGAGGAUGACCAGCCACAUUGGGACUGAGACACAGCCCAGACUCCUACGGGAGGCAGCAGUGGGGAAUCUUGCGCAAUGGGCGAAAGCCUGACGCAGCCAUGCCGCGUGAAUGAUGAAGGUCUUAGGAUUGUAAAAUUCUUUCACCGGGGACGAUAAUGACGGUACCCGGAGAAGAAGCCCCGGCUAACUUCGUGCCAGCAGCCGCCGUAAAAC
rnacentral:rRNA from 1 species